AGUGAACGCUGGCGGUAGGCCUAACACAUGCAAGUCGAACGGCAGCACAGGAGAGCUUGCUCUCUGGGUGGCGAGUGGCGGACGGGUGAGGAAUACAUCGGAAUCUACUUUUUCGUGGGGGAUAACGUAGGGAAACUUACGCUAAUACCGCAUACGACCUACAGGUGAAAGCAGGGGAUCUUCGGACCUUGCGCGAUUGAAUGAGCCGAUGUCGGAUUAGCUAGUUGGGGGGGUAAAGGCCCACCAAGGCGACGAUCCGUAGCUGGUCUGAGCGGAUGAUCAGCCACACUGGAACUGAGACACGGUCCAGACUCCUACGGGAGGCAGCAGUGGGGAAUAUUGGACAAUGGGCGCAAGCCUGAUCCAGCCAUACCGCGUGGGUGAAGAAGGCCUUCGGGUUGUAAAGCCCUUUUGUUGGGAAAGAAAUCCUGCUGGUUAAUACCCGGUUGGGAUGACGGUACCCAAAGAAUAAGCACCGGCUAACUUCGUGCCAGCCGCCGCGGUAA
rnacentral:rRNA from 1 species